AGUGAACGCUGGCGGCGUGCCUAAUACAUGCAAGUCGAACGAUGAAGUCCUAGCUUGCUAGGAUGGAUUAGUGGCGCACGGGUGAGUAAUAUAUAGUUAAUCUGCCCUACACAGAGGAACAACAGUUGGAAACGACUGCUAAUACCUCAUACUCCUAUUUGACAUCAGUUAAAUAGGGAAAGUCUUUUCGGUGUAGGAUGAGACUAUAUCGUAUCAGCUAGUUGGUAAGGUAAUGGCUUACCAAGGCUAUGACGCGUAACUGGUCUGAGAGGAUGAUCAGUCACAUUGGAACUGAGACACGGUCCAAACUCCUACGGGAGGCAGCAGUAAGGAAUAGUGCGCAAUGGGGGAAACCCUGACGCAGCAACGCCGCGUGGAGGAUGACACUUUUCGGAGCGUAAACUCCUUUUAUCAGGAAAGAAUAAUGACGGUACCUGAUGAAUAAGCACCGGCUAACUCCGUG
rnacentral:rRNA from 1 species